rnacentral:rRNA from 1 species
GAUGAACGCUGGCGGCGUGCCUAAUACAUGCAAGUCGAGCGAACAGACGAGGAGCUUGCUCCUCUGAUGUUAGCGGCGGACGGGUGAGUAACACGUGGAUAACCUACCUAUAAGACUGGGAUAACUUCGGGAAACCGGAGCUAAUACCGGAUAACAUGUUGAACCGUAUGGUUCAACAGUGAAAGACGGUCUUGCUGUCACUUAUAGAUGGAUCCGCGCCGCAUUAGCUAGUUGGUAAGGUAACGGCUUACCAAGGCAACGAUGCGUAGCCGACCUGAGAGGGUGAUCGGCCACACUGGAACUGAGACACGGUCCAGACUCCUACGGGAGGCAGCAGUAGGGAAUCUUCCGCAAUGGGCGAAAGCCUGACGGAGCAACGCCGCGUGAGUGAAGAAGGUCUUCGGAUCGUAAAACUCUGUUAUUAGGGAAGAACAAAUGUGUAAGUAACUAUGCACGUCUUGACGGUACCUAAUCAGAAAGCCACGGCUAACUACGUG